rnacentral:lncRNA from 1 species
UCUGCAGGAUUUACGCGCACGUUGGAACCGAAGAGAGCUCUGUUGUUGCAAUGUUCAGCCCACAAGAGCUUACUGGUGAAGGAAUGGGACAAGACCCAUCUUUAUGCAAAGCCAGCGUUACAGUAAUGUUCCAGCAUCUCAUAAUCUAUCCUGGGGAAUUCAGCUGCCUCCCAGGGUGAAUACAGGUAUUCCUGAUGACAGUCUGCCUCUAUCUUACAGUACUACUAACCAAUAACCUGCUUGGCUCAAAGGGCCAGCACCUUCUCUCUAAAGCCCAAGAGGAGUUUGAGGAAAACUAGGUGUCUGUGUUCACUCCAGGCUGAAGUUACAGGUCUGAGCAAAUAAGGUGUAUAAAAAAUGGAAUCUGUCUUGGAGGACAUCAGAAGGUGAAUUUUCCAAGUUCUUGGACAACCUAGCUGUUGAAAAGCUUUCUGGGUUUGGGGGGUAUUUCAGAUGUACCUUAAAGUGUUAGCAGACACAGAUUAAGACACUGGGAGCCAAUGAAACAGCAGUUGAGGGUUUGCUGUGUAUCACAUUUCUGUAUUUUAUCACCCCCUUCCUGCAACAUUAUUUAUCUGGAAUCUACCUGCCCUUUUGUUUUUUAGAUACAAGGGCUUGGUUUUGUUACCCAGGCUGGUUUCAAGGCCAUAGCUUUAAGAGAUCCUCUCACCACAGAUUUCCAAAGUGCUGGGAUUGCAGGUGUGAUUCAUGGCACCCAGACUUUGCUGCCUUUCUUACAUGAUCCAGGCCCAGAACCCAAACUCAGGCACUGUAUAGAUGACCACUUUCGUAAACUACUGACCUAGCUUGUUGCCAAUUGUUGAUUGAACUUCCCAUAACUCCACUUCGUGUCUGUUCCUCUGUAUACAGCCACCUUCUGUUCCCGUCAUGAGCCUUUAGGUCUCCAUUUGCAUAUUGCAAAUACUAUGUUCCAUGUAGGUAGCUCAUUCAGGGCCUUGCUCUUCACUUCAAAAAAGGUUCCCUUGAGGACUGGCUGUCAAUUUGUGUUGCUGUGUUGGUUGUUGAUGAAAAUAAUAAAAUGAUUGAUUAC